rnacentral:rRNA from 1 species
AUGAACGCUGGCGGCGUGCCUAUUACAUGCAAGUCGAGCGAACAGACGAGGAGCUUGCUCCUCUGACGUUAGCGGCGGACGGGUGAGUAACACGUGGAUAACCUACCUAUAAGACUGGGAUAACUUCGGGAAACCGGAGCUAAUACCGGAUAAUAUAUUGAACCGCAUGGUUCAAUAGAGAAAGACGGUUUUGCUGUCACUUAUAGAUGGAUCCGCGCCGCAUUAGCUAGUUGGUAAGGUAACGGCUUACCAAGGCAACGAUGCGUAGCCGACCUGAGAGGGUGAUCGGCCACACUGGAACUGAGACACGGUCCAGACUCCUACGGGAGGCAGCAGUAGGGAAUCUUCCGCAAUGGGCGAAAGCCUGACGGAGCAACGCCGCGUGAGUGAUGAAGGUCUUCGGAUCGUAAAACUCUGUUAUUAGGGAAGAACAAAUGUGUAAGUAACUAUGCACGUCUUGACGGUACCUAAUCAGAAAGCCACGGCUAACUACGUG